GAUGAACGCUAGCGGGAGGCUUAAUACAUGCAAGUCGUACGGUAACAGGGGAGCUUGCUCCUGCUGACGAGUGGCGGACGGGUGAGUAACGCGUACACGAUCUACCUAUAAGUCUGGGAU
rnacentral:rRNA from 1 species